GCAAUUAAUUUUCUCGAAGAAAGAUUUAAAUGAACGCAUAACCACUGCGAUAAUUUAAAGUUUUUAUAUGACAUAGGUAAAUUUGGGAAGGUAGGAUACAUAAGGUUAUUUCAAUUAUAUCUGUAACCAACAAUAAACCAUUGCUUGGCGAAAGACGAUUCCGAGUGCAGUUCGGUAGUACAUAUUUGAUUUCAAAAUGCUUAUUAAAAAAAAAAAGUCCGAUUAUUUUAAAAAUUUUACUUCAUCUAAAUAAGUCCAAUAUAAGAUUAUUGCCAAGUUUUAAUUCUCUACGGUAGUGGUGUAUUUGGAUUUUUUAUAGGGAGAGGAUGACAAGAAUUUUAGCGUACAGAGCCUUGGGGGGUUUUGAUCACUACUCACUACUGCGG